UACGAAGGGGGCUAGCGUUGUUCGGAAUUACUGGGCGUAAAGCGCGUGUAGGCGGGUCUUUAAGUCAGGGGUGAAAUGCCAAGGCUCAACCUUGGAACUGCCUUUGAUACUGGAGACCUUGAGUCCGGGAGAGGUGAGUGGAAUUGCGAGUGUAGAGGUGAAAUUCGUAGAUAUUCGCAAGAACACCAGUGGCGAAGGCGGGUCUCUGGGCAGUAACUGACGCUGAGGAGCGAAAGCGUGGGGAGCAAACAGG
rnacentral:rRNA from 1 species